rnacentral:tRNA from 1 species
AAACCUGAAGUUCUUAGAUCGUGAACUUGCAAAGUUCAAGGAUUAGGUUUU